rnacentral:misc_RNA from 1 species
GAAAUGCGAUAAGUAGUGUGAAUUGCAGAAUUCAGUGAAUCAUCGAAUCUUUGAACGCACAUUGCGCCCCUUGGUAUUCCAUGGGGCAUGCCUGUUCGAGCGUCAUUUGUACCCUCAAGCUCUGCUUGGUGUUGGGUGUUUGUCCCGUCUCCGCGCGUGGACUCGCCCCAAAGUGAUUGGCAGCCGGCGUACUGGUCCCGGAGCGCAGCACAUGUCGCGCAAACGAGUGCCUUGGUACGGCGGCGUCCAUAAGCCCCUCUCUCACGCUCUUGACCUCGGAUCAGGUAGGGAUACCCGCUGAACUUCAGC